rnacentral:lncRNA from 1 species
CUCUGUGCGCCACUGCCGGUGAAGAGCUUUUCUAAAGAAAAAUACCCGAAUAUCUCUUUUGUUUAAAGUUAUUAAAAACGGCCAGGCAAGGUGGUUCAUGCCUGUAAUCCCAGCACUUUGGGAGGCCGAGGUGGGUGGAUCACCUGAGGCUAGGAGUUCGAGAUCAGCCUGGCCAGCAUGGCGAAAUCCCAUCUCUACUAAGUUAGCUGGGCGUGGUGGCGGGCUCCUGUAGUCCCAGCUACUGGGGAGGGAGGCUCAGGCAGGAGAAUCACUUGAACCCAGGAGGCAGAAGUUGCGGUGAGCAGAGAUCAUGCCACUGCACUCCAGCCUGGGCAACAGAGCGAGACUCCAUCUCUAAAUAAAUAAAUAAAUAAAGUUAUUAAAAAUGGUCAACAUUCUACUAACGCUCAAUCAUCGUGUAUACAACAUUAACUAUGUUUUAUUUUUGUUUAUUUUUUUUGAGAGGGCCUCUGUUGCCCAGGCUGGAGAGUGCAGAUCUUGGCUCACUGCAGCCUCAACUUCCUGGGCUCAAGCGAUCCUCCCACCUCAGCCUCCUGAGUAGCUGGGACUACAGGAGCAUCCCACCACACCUGCCUGGCUUUUUUUUUAUUUUUAGUAGAGACAGGGCCUCCCUAUGUUGCCCAGGCUGGCCUUGAACUCCUGAGCUCAAGCAAUUUUCCCACCUCCCAAGUUUGCCAAGGUGCCAGGAUAACAGGUGUGAGCCAAAGCACCCAGCCAAUAUUAACUACAAGUGGCAAGUUGUGGAAAACCUUUUCAUUUACUCCAGAAUAUCAG